rnacentral:rRNA from 1 species
UCCGUAGGUGGCAAGCGUUGUCCGGAUUUACUGGGUGUAAAGGGCGUGCAGCCGGAGAGACAAGUCAGAUGUGAAAUCCACGGGCUCAACCCGUGAACUGCAUUUGAAACUGUUUCCCUUGAGUGUCGGAGAGGUAAUCGGAAUUCCUUGUGUAGCGGUGAAAUGCGUAGAUAUAAGGAAGAACACCAGUGGCGAAGGCGGAUUACUGGACGAUAACUGACGGUGAGGCGCGAAAGCGUGGGGAGCAAACAGG